GAUGAACGCUGGCGGCGUGCUUAACACAUGCAAGUCGAACGAUGAAGCCCAGCUUGCUGGGUGGAUUAGUGGCGAACGGGUGAGUAACACGUGAGUAACUUGCCCUUGACUCUGGGAUAAGCCUGGGAAACUGGGUCUAAUACUGGAUAUGACUUCUCAUCGCAUGGUGGGGGGUGGAAAGAUUUAUUGGUCUUGGAUGGACUCGCGGCCUAUCAGCUUGUUGGUGAGGUAAUGGCUCACCAAGGCGACGACGGGUAGCCGGCCUGAGAGCGUGACCGGCCACACUGGGACUGAGGCACGGCCCAGACUCCUACGGGAGGCAGCAGUGGAGAAUAUUGCACAAUGGGCGCAAGCCUGAUGCAGCGACGCCGCGUGAGGGAUGACGGCCUUCGGGUUGUAAACCUCUUUCAGUAGGGAAGAAGCGAGAGUGACGGUACCUGCAGAAGAAGCGCCGGCUAACUACGUG
rnacentral:rRNA from 1 species